CUGUUGCUGUGAUUGCUCCUGUGCCUGUGUUGGUGCAGCCCUGCCUCACUCCAGCGAGGAAGUUGGUGGCUUCUGCAUUCCUCCUCUCGUUUCCAGAGCGUAUUUGUGAAUUGCACUGAGUUUCCUGCAAAGUGAAUUUACUGCUGGUUGGAGCUGGCAGGCCUGGAUAGGUAGCAGAUUCCUUCUGGAGCCAGCAAGGACUCUCCCUUUCCCUGGAGUCUCCCACCACCAGGGAUAUUAAUUGACCUCCCCUCGUUAGAUAACCCAGAAUUUAGUCCCAGAGAGAGAGAGAUGCUAGCUCUGUGACGUGAAGGCUGUCUCCAGGCUGAGCGAUCUGGAUCUCUGGACAUUGUUCAUUUUGGAAAAAAUAAUCAAAAAUCUGGGAAAAGGAGCAUGAAAUACACAAGAGGCACACAACGGACCAGCUGUACUGUGCUUGUGUUAUGCUUAGUGCAGUGGGGCCCAUGACUGGAGCCCCUAGGUGGUAAGGCUAUAUACAUUCAUAACAAUCCUCUACCCCAAUCUCCUAACUUUGUGCCACUGAGGGGGUGUAAGGAGACUGAAAAUGAACUGGAUCUCCUCUGUGGCAUGGAGUCUUCUGCUGGUGUAGUUUCUGUGCUGCCCUUCUCCUCUCCCUCCAGGAGAGGGAGUAGGAGGAGGCAUCUGAGGUCAAAACCAGAAUGUCACUUCACUCUAGCGACUCUCACAGCUGAUGGCCAGCCCCUAAGGACCAAUACCAGCACCCUGUUCUAAACUACAACAAUGCUGGCACUGGUGAAUAAGGGAGCUGCAGCCAGGUCUUCUGCACUGACUAAUGGGUGCAGCAGAGUAUCUGGACCAGAAUGCCCAAGAAGCAGCUGGAUUUGCUCCUGUUACAGACUGUGGCUAAGCUCCCGGGCAGGAUUGAUCCUUUCAGCUCUCAGUUCCUCCAAGGGUUUGGCUUGUCCAUCACCAAGGACAGUAUCCACCUCUAAGAAAUCAACGUUGAUUAUCCUCCUUCUCCAAGCCAGACCUUGGUGCAAUUGCAGCCAGGGUUCUGAACGCAAACGGCUCUUCUCAUCUCAUCCACAGCUGAGCUGUUUCAGCCUCUCGAAGGGAAGCAGUCUUUGAACCACGGCCACAUUUCCAUCCACAGGGAGACCAGGGGUGUCCCAUGCCAUGUGCAUGUUACAUUUGUGCUUUUUGAUGUGUUCAGACACAUUCUGACCGGGAAUAAUUUCCACCCCCCUCUUCUUGGGAACCGCAAUGAACCCAAUGAAAGGGAACCAGGCAUUUGACUUCAGUUGAUGCUGUUCCAUCCAGCCCACAUCAGACUCCACAUCUGAGGCAAGCCUGUCUGACUGGAACAGGCCUCGGUUCCCCAAGCAACUGCGUCCGAAGUACCAGCAGCCGCUGCCUGCGUCCUCUGUGGUGUGUUAAUCGAUAGCCCAAGUGUGAACUGAUUGCCUUCCUAACGACAGCCCUGUCAGCAUCCCAACCGGCUACCACUGAGGGAGCUGGCUUAUUUCAAAACCAACCCACUCUUGUACUUCCGCCCGGUAGCUGUUGCUAAUGGCGACGCUUUGCCUGAGCCGCUGGGCUUGAUUGAUUGAUUUUUUGUAUUUAUUUAUUGCUGGGCACACGAUGGAGCUGGUUCGGCUUUUCCCCUUUGCUGAAUCCGCCUUUCAUUGUGCUGACAUCCAGAUGCGAAUUUGCUCUGCCCGUGACCCUGCUCUUCCCCUCCCGAUUUGAAAUUAGCUUUACUAAAACAUGUUUUCUUUUAAGACUCCACAGCCUAAUCCAGAACAAACAAAACACAUUUUUUUUCUAACCAACUGCAUGAACCUAUGCCCUGGCCUUGACCGCACAUAUGCACACACUUCCCCACCCCUCCCCCAACCCUCCCUCCCCCCUGCACAUCACCAUCCAAGUGAGGUUUCCAAGGCAUUUUUUUUCCCUGACGAAUACAGUUGCAACGACUCAGAAACUGUGGAAUUUUUUGGCACUAACCAGAGAUCUAACUUUCCUUCUGCAUGCAUGGAGCAGGGGUUGAGAUCUGAGACGCGCAGAAAAAAGACAGAUUUGCACUCCUCUGCUUUAUUCCAAAGGCUGCGCUGUAGGCAGGACUACAGCCAAAGAUGGAAUAUCAUGAGGGGAAGGGAGCUCUUCAUUCUUAUUCACGUUAGGUCUUAGAUGGUUUUGGGCUUCAAGCACUGGAUCGGGACCCAGAUAGAGCCGGUUGGAUAAUGUCAGUUAGUUUUUGCAAGAAUUUGCUGUCUUAAGUUGAAUCUUUUUUUUUUAUUUCCCCCUGAUUUUUACUCCUCUUUUUUUAAAUGGAAAGAAACAAAAUCAAAACCCAGAAGUGUUCAGUGUCUGAAAAUGAUUUUUGGUGCAAUCUUUUGGUUUGUUUUCAGUCAAUUUGGUUUUUGAAAGCCACAACUUGAAAAAUGGUACUGAGAAACUGAACCAAAUCCCAGUGUUGGUUUUUAAACCAGAACUCUGGUUUUCCAUUGAGGAAAAACCAGAGCCCUUUCAGCAAAAGUGGAUUUUUUUCAUUGUAGCUAAAAAAUGUUUGGAAAAAGCUCUAGGCUCAGAACACCUGAGUUCAGUCUUGGCUUUGCCAAAGAACUGUUCAAAUAACAUUUUUAAAAAAAUCAAGAUUGGAUAUUUUUAAAAAGAGAUGUUCUAGUUUAAACAGGAAUUAAUUCAAAGACGUCCUAAGGCCUCUGUUGUAUUAAUUAAGUGGACUGUACGAUUCCAAAGAAUCGAAGACCUGUCACUGUCCAACAUUAAACUGCUUUAAACAAGGGUCAAAGUUUGGUAUACAAAGACCUUGGUUUGCUG